rnacentral:rRNA from 1 species
GCAGAGAACUUUCCAGAGAUGGAUUGGUGCCUUCGGGAACUCUGACACAGGUGCUGCAUGGCUGUCGUCGGCUCGUGUCGUGAGAUGUUGGGUUAAGUCCGUAACGAGCGCAACCCUUGUCCUUAGUUACCAGCACGUUAUGGUGGGCACUCUAAGGAGACUGCCGGUGGACAAACCGGAGGAAGGUGGGGAUGACGUCAAGUCAUCAUGGCCCUUACGGCCUGGGCUACACACGUGCUACAAUGGUCGGUACAAAGGGUUGCCAAGCCGCGAGGUGGAGCUAAUCCCAUAAAACCGAUCGUAGUCCGGAUCGCAGUCUGCAACUCGACUGCGUGAAGUCGGAAUCGCUAGUAAUCGUGAAUCAGAAUGUCACGGUGAAUACGUUCCCGGGCCUU